rnacentral:rRNA from 1 species
UACAGAGGGUGCGAGCGUUAAUCGGAAUUACUGGGCGUAAAGCGCGCGUAGGCGGCUUUGCAAGUCGGGUGUGAAAUCCCCAGGCUUAACCUGGGAACUGCAUUCGAGACUGCAUUGCUAGAGUAUGGGAGAGGGAAGUGGAAUUUCCGGUGUAGCGGUGAAAUGCGUAGAUAUCGGAAGGAACACCAGUGGCGACGGCGACUUCCUGGCCUGUUCUUGACGCUGAGGCGCGAAAGCUAGGGGAGCAAACGGG